rnacentral:rRNA from 1 species
GGUUUGAUUCUGGCUCAGAUUGAACGCUGGCGGGAUGCUUUACACAUGCAAGUCGAACGGCAGCACGGACUUCGGUCUGGGCAGUGGCGAAUAAGGAGUAAUGUAUCGGAACGUGCCUUCAGUAGCGGGGGAUAACUACGCGAAAGCGUAGCUAAUACUGCAUACGUCUCUUCGGGGGAAAGCGGGGACCUUCGGCCUCGGGGUGCACUAUUAGAGUGGCCGAUAUCGGAUUAGCUAGUUGGUGGGGUAACGGCUCACCAAGGCGAUUGAUCCGUAGCUGGUUUGGAGAGACGACCAGCCACACUGGGACUGAGACACGGCCCAGACUCCUACGGGAGGCAGCAGGAAUUUUUGACAAUGGGGGAACUCCUGAUCCAGCCAUCCCGCGUGUGCGAUGAAGGCCUUCGGGUUGUGAAGCACUUUUUGGCAGGAAAGAAACGGCACGGGAUAAUACCGUGCAACUGACGGUACCUGCAGAAUAAGCACCGGCUAUCCAUGCGCUGAAAGCAGCCGCGGUAAUACGUAGGGUGCAAGCGUUAAUAACGGAAUUACUGGGCGCAGUUGCAGCAGGCGUCGGAAAGAAAGAUGCAAAUCCCAGAGCUUAACUUUGGAACUGCAUUUUUAACUACCGAGCUAGAGGUGUCAGAGGGAGGUGACCUCGUAGCAGGAAAUGCGAUAUGCGAGAACACCGAUGGCGAAGGCAGCCUCCUGGGAUAACACUGACGCUCAUGCACGAAAGCGGAGCAAACAGGAUUAGAUAUUCAGAACCACGCCCUAAAACGAUGUCAACUAGCUGCUGGGGCCUUCGGCCUCGGUGGCGCAGCUAACGCGUGAAGCUGACCGCCUGGGAGUACGGUCGCAAGAUUAAAACUCAAAGGACUGACGGGGACCCGCACAAGCGGUGGAUGAUGUGGGAUUAAUUCGAUGCACACCGCGAAAAACCUUAUCACUCCUUGACAUGUCUGGAACUCGUGAGAUUUGGAGUGCUCAAGAGAACCGGGAACACAGUGUAUGCAUGUCGUCAGCUCGUCGUGAGAUGUUGGGUUAAGUCCCGCAACGAGCAGCAACCUCAUUAGUUGCUACGAAAGGGCACUUCAAUGAGACUGCCGGUGACAAACCGAGGAAGGUGGGAGGACGUCAAGUCCUCAUGGCCCCGGUGGGUAGGGCUUCUCACACGCCAUACAAUGGUCGGGACAGAGGGUCGCCAACCCGCGAGGGGAGUCAAUCCCAGAAACCCGAUCGUAGUCCGGAUCGCGUCUGCAACUCGACUGCGGUGAAGCUCGAACUGCCAGUAAUCGCGGAUCACACGUCGUGUGAAUACGUUCCCGGGUCUUGUACACACCGCCCGUCACACCAUGGGAGUGGUUUACCAGAAGUAGUUAGCUUCAACCGUAAGGAGGGCGAUUACCACGGUAGGAUUCAUGACUGGGGUGAAGUCGUAACAAGGUAG